UUGGUAAAUACUCUCCUUCAACAAAUAGUCAGUUUGGAAGUGUUAUAGAAAGGCUGUAUUUUAACUGUUGUCUGACUGUCAUCUUCUGCUCAUCUUCAUCAGCUUGUAUUUGGUGGAUUAUUGCUCUGCACUCGCAGAGAAAAUCUUCAGAAUUAUCUGUCACACCACCUCAAAUAGACAUGGCUAUAAUCUCUGGAUGUAAGGAUCAGGGACAUCUCUCCAGGCUGCAGUCGUUGGAGGCAAAGCUUGAGUACCUUCUACCACAAGCAGAUCUGUGGCCCAACUUUGCUCUGGAGUCUCAAGGAGCAACGAUUUUACACAAGAUGACCUCACAAACAUUUCAGAGCUAUAAAAUGUGUAGAAUGUUUGGUGCAUCUUUUAGGCUACCAAAUUUUGGCCCAGACAUUGUUAUUAAGGUCUGAAUGACACUCAAAUCAUUAAAAAUCAAUGUUAGGAAAAGUGGUGUGUCUUGUUGAUAUAGUAUUAGGCUUUACGGUUUUCUUUUCUCUUAGUCAUGGUACCCCACCUAAACUUUGUUUUGUUCUCUGUCUUCAGGGAAGAUCUCAGUUGAAUCCAGGACAAUGCUGGGCCUUUGCAGGCUUCCCAGGACGUUUAUCCAUCUCACUGUCCCACAAAGCCACCAUCACUCAUGUGUCGCUGGGUCAUAUUCCCAAGAUUGUUUCCCCAACUGCGUCAGUCUCCAGUGCUCCUAAAGAAUUUUCUGUCUAUGGAAAGAAGAAUUUAGAAGAUGAGAGUCAUUUGGGAACUUUCCUAUACGAUGAAGGUGGCGACCAAAUACAGACCUUCAAAGUUCCUGCCAAUAAAGUUGGUUCCUUCAACCAUGUCACGCUAAAGGUGAUCAGCAAUUGGGGUAAUCCGGAUUAUACCUGCUUGUAUAACUUUAGAAUUCAUGGGGAACUUUCCAAUUGAUGACAACAAGGAGGAAAACGAUAAAAGAUAUGGAGAAAAAUAUUUUUUUCCCCUUUCAUAUAUUUCUUUUGUAUAUGUUUAUAUAAUUAAUUUUAAGUCCUCACAAAAGACAGACACACCAGUCAACCAUAAGUAGAUAAACAAAUGAAGAAGGAAAAAUAACACACGCAUAUGCACACAGGCCCUCAGACAGGUAUAACAGGAACCAAUUACUUGUAAGUCUAGAUUUUGUUCUAAUGGACUGAAAUGAGGGCUGCACAAUGGCGCAGUUGGCAGAACUGUUGCCUUGCAGAAAAAAAGUGGUAUGCGUGGGUUCUUUCCGGGUGCUCCGGCUUCCUCCCACAGUAAAAACAUGACUGUCAGGUUAAUUGGUCUGUCUAAAAUCUCCUUAGAUGUGAUUGAUUGUUGAUUGUCCUGUCUCUCUCUAAAUAGAGCAGGAUCCAUUAACACAUCUUUUUAAAUAAUUCUUAUUUUCGUAACCUGCUCCCAAAAAGCCGUGGUUUUGUUGCAUUGCCAUAAGCAAUGUAAUAGUGCCUCUUUCUCCACCAUGCAUACACAAAUCUAGAAUUAAGGGGAUUAAAUUAUUCAGUUUUACAGGAGUGAUGCAUAUUCUCAUCAUCCAUUUAUACUGUAAUAAUCUAGACUUUGUUCUAAUGGAUUGGGAAUGGGGGCUGCACAAUGGCACAGUUGGUAGCACUGUUGCCUUGCAGAAAAGAGGUUCAAUAAUAAUAAAAGUGGCAUGCGUGGGUUCUCUCCGGGUGCUCCGGCUUCCUCCCACAAUAAAAACAUGACUGUUUGGUUAAUUGGCGCUGCAUGGUUGAUUGUCCUGUGUGUUGCCCUGGGAUGGAUAGGUAACCUGGACAAUUCCAUGUUGUGAAUUUAAGUCAUAUUUUUUGCACCAUUUAAAAUGAAAACACUGACAACAUAACAUAAACUGUUAAUACAGUUUAUGUAAUAACAGUUUUUACAUAAACUGUUGUUACAUUUAACAUAAACUGUCUGAGAACAUUAACAUAUUCAAACACAAACAUAAACUGUGAAAACAUGUUUAUUUCUUAAUCAAAAUGAAAGAUUUUCUGUGCAGGAUAUGGGAACACAGCAACAUGAUUUUUUAGAAAAUGGUGAACUAACACAAUUCUUUAAGUUCUUUCAGGACUGACUCCAGUGAGAGGUAGUUUACUGCUACAGGCUCAGACUGCAACAGUCUGGGCACUAUUUUCUGUCAAUAGCUAUCUUAUAGACAGAGCACUACUUUCCUAGAUCUCCCUUUUUUAACAUGUGUAAUGUAAACUAACAUUGUAACUAAAUCUGUCUUUCUUCUUUCAGAGGUUUGCUGACAGUUUUGUGUUUGUGUGGUUUUUUAAAUUUUUUUAUUUUUGCCCUCUUGAAGCCAGCCAGUCUCGGCAGAUGGCUGCUCAUCCUGAGCCUGGUUCUGCUGGAGGUUUCUUCCUUUUAAAGGGAGUUUUCCUCUCCACUGUUGCCUUGUGCUUGCUCAGGAUGGGGGAUCCCUUGGAUUAAACAUCCAUCGCGAUCGGCUGGUGACCCCUCUGCAGAAUCGCCACCUUAACGUGGUGGAGGGGUUUGAGUAUCCCUAUGACCCAGAUGGAGAUUUUGUCUUGGGAUUCAGCCAGUAGUGAGGAUUCUCAGGGCAGAUAACCAUUGGGGAGGGAUCAGACUAAGAGCGAUUCAAGGUUUUCAAUGAAGGACUACCAAAGGGAUCAGGUAUUUCUAGGAGACAGACAGUUAUCCCAAGUCCGGAUUUGCAGGAAGUUUCUUCCUAUAAAAAGUACCAGAAUGGGAGGCUCCUAAGGUCACAUAGGGACUUUGGUCUAUUUGGCCCAGGGGCUUCAGUUCAACGUGUGAGCAGUGUAAGACAAGUGGAGAUUUGACACAGACACACAGGAAUGGAAGGUUCUGGCUCAAUACUUGGAGAGGAGCCGCUCAUCCACACUUGAAGGAGGUACACAGCUUUUAGCAGUCACCUACACAUGAAGGGGCCAAUGGGUCCAUGCUUGAAGGAGAACUGCGCAUGACAGAGGGCCAGAAGGAGGCGUGCACAUGUCAGUUCAGCGAUUCCCGGGCAUAUGCCUACAUGUCUGGGCUUCUGCCUACAUGUCUGGGAUGGUGCCCACAUACUCUUGACUUGUGUUUUAAAAAUAAAGGCCUCUAAAGUGCUUAAAAUGGUUA